UAUUCAGCGCACCCGUGUGCGCCGCGCACCCGUUCAUCUUCGCCGUCCAUUUGAUGCAGACUUUUGACUUUUUCAAAAUGAAUGGCAGAGAUGGACGGGGGCGCGGCGCACCCGGGUGCACUGUAUA
rnacentral:pre_miRNA from 1 species